rnacentral:rRNA from 1 species
UACGUAGGGUGCGAGCGUUGUCCGGAAUUAUUGGGCGUAAAGAGCUUGUAGGCGGUUUGUCGCGUCUGCUGUGAAAAAUCCGGGGGCUCAACCCCCGGACUUGCAGUGGGGUACGGGGCAGACUAGAGUGUGGUAGGGGAGACUGGAAUUCCUGGUGUAGCGGUGAAAUGCGCAGAUAUCAGGAGGAACACCGAUGGCGAAAGGCA